UACGGAGAGUGCGAACGUUGUUCGGAUUCACUGGGCGUAAAGCGCACGUAGGCGGAUCGUUAAGUCGGGGGUGAAAUCCUGGAGCUCAACUCCAGAACUGCCUUCGAUACUGGCGAUCUUGAGUCCGGAAGAGGUGAGUGGAACUCCUAGUGUAGAGGUGGAAUUCGUAGAUAUUAGGAAGAACACCAGUGGCGAAGGCGGCUCACUGGUCCGGUACUGACGCUGAGGUGCGAAAGCGUGGGGAGCAAACAGG
rnacentral:rRNA from 1 species